GAUGAACGCUAGCGGGAGGCUUAACACAUGCAAGUCGAGGGGUAUUGUAGCAAUACAUUAGACCGGCGCACGGGUGAGUAGCGCGUAUGCAACCUGCCGUUAACCGGGGGAUAGCCCGUCGAAAGGCGGAUUAAUACCCCAUAAUAUUGGGAUUCUGCAUGGGAUUUCAAUUAAAGCUGAGGUGGUUAACGAUGGGCAUGCGUGACAUUAGCUAGUUGGUAGGGUAACGGCCUACCAAGGCUACGAUGUCUAGGGGUUCUGAGAGGAAGGUCCCCCACACUGGUACUGAGACACGGACCAGACUCCUACGGGAGGCAGCAGUGAGGAAUAUUGGUCAAUGGGCGAGAGCCUGAACCAGCCAUCCCGCGUGCAGGAAGACGGCCCUAUGGGUUGUAAACUGCUUUUGCGCAUGAAGAAUGUUACCGACGUGUCGGUAAGUGACGGUAAUGCGUGAAUAAGCAUCGGCUAACUCCGUGCCAGCCGCCCGCAGUAACAC
rnacentral:rRNA from 1 species